CCAGCUGCCUGACUUCAUUCUGUCCUCUCUGAUUUUGGAGGUCCCUGGCACUGGAAGAAAAGAAAAGAAGGGCUGAAUGCAUAAUGUCAGUGCAUUACCCAGACUGCCUACAUAAUCAGAAAGUAACACUCAAACAGGUCUGGUUUUUACAGGCAUGUCUUACAUAAGAUUGCUGGGAGAAUGUUGUGCAAGUCUUCGUGAACAGCCCCACUGGUGCCGUGAUCUGCUGUGGCUUUCUGUCUCCUUGCUUGGAUGACUGAAACUUUUGAACUGGAGCGAACUGACAGCAGCUACUGGAUAUGAAGCAGUAGCCUCACUCACAAAUAACCUCUUAUUUGAGUAAAAAUACUGCUCUGAAAGUGAGUCUUUACUUGAGCUUGCUGAAACCUGAAGGAUUAAUAACUAUAAAUGUGGGCUGCAGCACGGCCUGUAGAUUAAUUGUAUGUUAAUUAAAUAAUGAUCAUUGAUGCGGUAAUCUUA